GACGAACGCUGGCGGCGUGCCUAAUACAUGCAAGUCGUGCGGACUUUGCGGGAGCUUGCUCCCAAGAAGUUAGCGGCGGACGGGUGAGUAACACGUGGGCAACCUGCCUGACAGACUGGGAUAACAUUCGGAAACGGAUGCUAAUACCGGAUAGGCAGCGAAGAGGCAUCUCUUUGCUGAGAAAGGCGCUACGGCGUCACUGUCAGAUGGGCCCGCGGCGCAUUAGCUAGUUGGUAGGGUAACGGCCUACCAAGGCGACGAUGCGUAGCCGACCUGAGAGGGUGACCGGCCACACUGGGACUGAGACACGGCCCAGACUCCUACGGGAGGCAGCAGUAGGGAAUCUUCCACAAUGGGCGAAAGCCUGAUGGAGCAACGCCGCGUGAGUGAUGAAGGCCUUCGGGUUGUAAAACUCUGUCUUCUGGGACGAACGGCCAAGAGAGGGAAUGCUCUUGGAUUGACGGUACCAGAGGAGGAAGCCACGGCUAACUACGUGCCAGCAGCCGCGGUAACAC
rnacentral:rRNA from 1 species